GCUUAGGUGGCUCAGUCGGUUAAGCAUGUGACUUCGGCUCAGGUCAUGAUCUGUUUGUGGGUUCGAGCCCCACAUUGGGCU
rnacentral:tRNA from 1 species